GAUGAACGCUGGCGGCGUGCCUAAUACAUGCAAGUCGAGCGAACGGACGAGAAGCUUGCUUCUCUGAUGUUAGCGGCGGACGGGUGAGUAACACGUGGAUAACCUACCUAUAAGACUGGGAUAACUUCGGGAAACCGGAGCUAAUACCGGAUAAUAUUUUGAACCGCAUGGUUCAAAAGUGAAAGACGGUCUUGCUGUCACUUAUAGGUGGAUCCGCGCUGCAUUAGCUAGUUGGUAAGGUAACGGCUUACCAAGGCAACGAUGCAUAGCCGACCUGAGAGGGUGAUCGGCCACACUAGAACUGAGACACGGUCCAGACUCCUACGGGAGGCAGCAGUAGGGAAUCUUCCGCAAUGGGCGAAAGCCUGACGGAGCAACGCCGCGUGAGUGAUGAAGGUCUUCGGAUCGUAAAACUCUGUUAUUAGGGAAGAACAUAUGUGUAAGUAACUGUGCACAUCUUGACGGUACCUAAUCAGAAAGCCACGGCUAACUACGUG
rnacentral:rRNA from 1 species